AGCGAACGCUGGCGGCAGGCCUAACACAUGCAAGUCGAACGAACCUUUCGGGGUUAGUGGCGGACGGGUGAGUAACACGUGGGAACGUGCCUUUAGGUUCGGAAUAACUCAGGGAAACUUGUGCUAAUACCGAAUGUGCCCUUCGGGGGAAAGAUUAAUCGCCUUUAGAGCGGACCGCGUCUGAUUAGCUAGUUGGUUGAGGUAAUGGCUCACCAAGGCGACGAUCAGUAGCUGGUCUGAGAGGAUGAUCAGCCACAUUGGGACUGAGACACGGCCCAAACUCCUACGGGAGGCAGCAGUGGGGAAUCUUGCGCAAUGGGCGAAAGCCUGACGCAGCCAUGCCGCGUGAAUGAUGAAGGUCUUAGGAUUGUAAAAUUCUUUCACCGGGGACGAUAAUGACGGUACCCGGAGAAGAAGCCCCGGCUAACUUCGUG
rnacentral:rRNA from 1 species